rnacentral:rRNA from 1 species
GACUGCGGAGGAUCAUUAAGAGACGUUGCCCUUCGGGGUAUACCUCCCACCCAUUGUUUAUUAUACCUUUGUUGCUUUGGCAGACCCGGCUUCGGCCCACCGGCUCCGGCUGGUCAGUGUCUGCCAGAGGACCUAAAACUCUGUUUGUUAAUAUUGUCUGAGUACUAUAUAAUAGUUAAAACUUUCAACAACGGAUCUCUUGGUUCUGGCAUCGAUGAAGAACGCAGCGAAAUGCGAUAAGUAAUGUGAAUUGCAGAAUUCAGUGAAUCAUCGAAUCUUUGAACGCACAUUGCGCCCUCUGGUAUUCCGGGAGGCAUGCCUGUUCGAGCGUCAUUACAACCCUCAAGCUUUGCUUGGUAUUGGACAUUGCCAGUUUCUGGCAGGUCUUAAAAUCAGUGGCGGAGCCAUUUGGCUUCAAGCGUAGUAAUUCUUCUCGCUUUGGAGAUCCAGGUGGUUACUUGCCAAUAACCCCCAAUUUUUUCAGGUUGACCUCGGAUCAGGUAGGGAUACCCGCUGAACUUAAGCAUAUCAAUAAGCGGAGGA